rnacentral:lncRNA from 1 species
CUACAAUGUUUUUAGAUGUCAAGUCUUGGAAAUUCUUACCCCCCUUUUGCCAGAUAAGUGUCCAAACAACGAUAACAUAGGAGAAGAAUGAGAGGGAUAGGAGUAGGAAUGAAACCUUACCAGCUCGGUCCACUAACUGGACUUAACGGAAUAGAAGGCCAUGAAAGUGUAAAAAAAAAUGUAUUUAUCCGUUGGCACUAAAAAAUUAAUAACUUCGUAUAAAUUGCUAAAAUUAGCUGAGUCCUUAGUAAAGAGCCCUUGUCACUAAAAAAUAAAGACAAAACACCUUCCACAAAACUAUCAAGAUAAGCGAUCAGUGCGACGUGUUCAGAGGUGUUAGAUUUGCUGUCUACUGAAAUACACCGAAAAGUCCUGCGCCGAAACGGUCGCGCCGAAAAGUCCGGGAACCCCUUUUUGCUGAUUGUGAUCCAAUGGAGAAUUUUCUUUACUUUUACUACAAUGAGUGUGCUAUGUGUUCUAUCAUCCAGGUUUUUUUUUUUUUUUUUUUUUUAUUUUAAAAUUAUUCACCUACUUAUCAUCCAGGUGUGUUAGAACAAGCAUUAGUCGCUGGAUUCUCGUCAAGCAACGAUUACCGAGCUGUGUGGUUGGAGUACAUUUGUAUCUGAGGCGGAUGUACGAUGAGAAAAGUCCUGAGGAACAAAGUGCCUUCGAAGAGAAAUUAGAACAACCAUCGAACGAGCAUACGAACAUCUGGUUCAAAUGUUCGGGACAGAAGGUGACCCAGAUUGUGAGUUACUUUUGUUCUGGGCCAAAUGGGAAGCUGUCAAGCCCAACAGAAGCAUGGAAAAAGUGCGUCAAAUCUACAAUGAUAUUUUAACCAUUAGCAAAACGAAAUCUAGUCUAUGGUCGCAGUGUUUGACGAUUGAAAGGUAUUGUGUGUUGUAGCUAAUUUCAUUUUUGAAGAUAAGAGCUCUUAUUUUUAUUCCUUAAAUCAGUUUUCUGCAUUUUUUAAAAGAGAGAACCCUAAGUCUUCUCUUUUUUUUUCACGUAUCAAACAUCAUGGCAGAAUUAGUAUGAGAAGACUCUCAUUUUGGUGUUAAUCCUUGUAAUAUUUCAAGUAGAUCCUAAAAAGUUUUGAACUAUAAGCUUAAGUUCCUUGUAAUUUUUCAAUGCCAUCAGUUGACCCGAAAAGUUGAUGACGAUCAAUAGUUUCACAGAGGGUUUAUUGACUUUCUCCUAGAUUUAUGUUUUGAGUUGGAGCAACUGAUUGAUGAAACUUAUUCAAGUAUGUUGGAAAAUAAAAAUCAUUUUUAAGUAAUGACAUCGAAAAAUAAUGCUGCUUCAAUGUUGUAGACAUUAAUUGAAGAGAAAGUAUGAGAAGUGGUAAAAUUUUUCCAAUAUUGCUCAUGAUAGUGUUCACAUGAAAUAUUUCACUGCCUGUAAUUUCUGCAAUCCUAGAACUUGUCUCGCUAAUACUUAGAAGACUGUAACGUGCAUAUGAUCACAUGAAAAAUUCAAUCAAUAGCUCUCGGUUGACCAUGUCUGAGUGUUUACAAGGGACGAUAAUAUCCUCAAAGACAUCCUUUUUCGGCAAAGGUCUCUAUCAAGAGCUGCUAGUGUUUAAAUCGUUACUGAAUCCUCUAAUUCUGUAAAAUAUAAUUUUUCCCUUCCUAAUCAUAUGUAUUGUAAAUGUUUUCUCUAGGUAUUAUGGUGAUGAGAAACACUUGCGGAGGCUCUUUGCAAGAGCCUUGGCCACAGAUACAGAUUGGCCUGAAGGAAUCGGUACAUUGUGGCUAGACUACGAAAAACUCCAUGGCAGCCUAGAACAGUACGAGCACUGUUUAUCUAAAGUUAACGAAAGAUUAAAACAAGAGAGACUGAAGCAAGAGAAACUAUUAGCCGCCAACACCGAGAAUAAACAGAAAUCUGGAAAUGAUCGGUCCAAAAAAGGGAAAAAGGAUAAGGCGG